rnacentral:rRNA from 1 species
GACGAACGCUGGCGGCGUGCCUAAUACAUGCAAGUCGAGCGGACAGAAGGGAGCUUGCUCCCGGAUGUUAGCGGCGGACGGGUGAGUAACACGUGGGUAACCUGCCUGUAAGACUGGGAUAACUCCGGGAAACCGGAGCUAAUACCGGAUAGUUCCUUGAACCGCAUGGUUCAAGGAUGAAAGACGGUUUCGGCUGUCACUUACAGAUGGACCCGCGGCGCAUUAGCUAGUUGGUGAGGUAACGGCUCACCAAGGCGACGAUGCGUAGCCGACCUGAGAGGGUGAUCGGCCACACUGGGACUGAGACACGGCCCAGACUCCUACGGGAGGCAGCAGUAGGGAAUCUUCCGCAAUGGACGAAAGUCUGACGGAGCAACGCCGCGUGAGUGAUGAAGGUUUUCGGAUCGUAAAGCUCUGUUGUUAGGGAAGAACAAGUGCAAGAGUAACUGCUUGCACCUUGACGGUACCUAACCAGAAAGCCACGGCUAACUACGUGCCAGCCGCCGCCGUAAGAC